CCUCUGCCAACUUCUGUGCACUCUUCAGAACGUUUUGAAAUCCCUCAUCUGACUGGAUUCAGUACAAUACAUCCAUCAUAGGAUGGCUUUGAGCUAAAGAUUCAAUACAAAAAAGGAAGGUCACACAUCAAGAUAGCCAAAAAUCUGAUUUGUUCAGGUGGUUGAAUGCCAUUCAUACAUCAUGCUUCAGUGCUUAUCUUUUAUAUAGAAGUGUCAUGCUUAUAACAUAUAAAGGUAAUAUACUUCUAUGGUCUGACCACAAGCUGGUUAUGAUUUUUUUCUGUGAACUGGUAAAAAGGUAACCACGUACCAUGACAAUCUCUGGAGUAAUUUUUCAUUUUUGCAUUUGCAUAACUUUUCUGUUUAUGAUGCCUGUUUCCAUAGAGAAGGCUUAUUAUUUCAGUAUUUGCACUAAUGAUUGAAACCAGCACUUUGAUGGAGCACUGCAAUGCUAUCAUUACUAUUCAAAAUUAGUGCCGCUGUAUUUUGAAGUCAGUAUCUGAAGAACAAAGAAGCUGGACACACCAGUCACUAGAAGAUCCAAGCCAUUGCCGAGGCAGUAUUCAACUGAUCGCAAAAAAAACUUAUUUCUGCACUUUUUGAGUAUAAUAGGUACUUUUGACUGGCUCUGGCAGCCCCUUUGAGUUGGAAAUCCCUUUUCCUAAAUACAAGUGACUUGAUUCUUGUUUACACUUAGGUCAUAUUACUCUGGAAGUAUAUUUAUGUCAGCUUUAAAGCCAGAGCACUGUAAAGGGGGCCUUAAUAUAAAUGAGAACUAGGAACAAAAUAGAUUAGGGCCAUAUUAGGGUUGAAGUUUCAUUUACAUGAUAUUGCUCUCAUUUCACAUCAGUGUAAUGUAGAAAUAAAUCAAAAUAGAUCUUCCUUAUAUAUAUUUGCUAUAGCUACUUUAAUGUACAUGCUUGUCACUGAGCACCUUCCAGUACUAAAGUUACUAACAUUACUAAUGUCUCUAUAUGUUGUCUGUUCUCUCCUCCUCUUCCCAAUGUUUUGUUAGGGUUUUUUCUUUGUUUGCUUUGAUUUUAAAUAUACACGUUAUGUUAAAGAAGGCAGAUCAACAAAUGUACCUCGGAUUUGGAGCGAAAGUUGGUGAGGUUGGCGAUGCUCAAACCGGCCACUGAGAAAGUUCUUCGGCUGCACAGAUGAGCUUUACCAUUAUUCUAUGUAGUUCCCUUGUGCCUGAGGAGCAUAGUUGCCAACCACGACCUCAUCCCAGAGCUUUAGAUGUUCUCUUAAAUGCUCUGUUGCUUCAGCCCAGGGUGUUUUGAAGAUAAGGACUGAGCCCUUGAAUUUGACUUAACAUUCUAUGGGAAGCCAACAUAGAGAGAAGAUGACAGGUUUGAUGUGCUCAUGGUAGCCUGUGUUGCUGUGGAGAUACACAGCAGCGUUCUGUACUAAUUGGUUUUCUUAAUGGCUGAAGGCUUCAUAUCCUGGUAUAAACUAGAUUGCUUAGCUUUUUAAGUAUUCCAUGUAUAAACCGUGGGACCAAAAAGAAAAGGUAAAUAAUUCGGUAAAUAAUGUGUCUGGUAAGGGCAUAUAUUUUUUCUGUCACAUUCCAGCUAGUCAUAUUUUACUGACUCUCAUUAGUUUGAGAAUAUCUGAAUGCAUUUUUAGACCUGAACUGAAAGAGCUUCAGCUGAGUGUUUUGGAAAGUGAAAUGAUUAAUUAUGCCAACAAGAUCUAAACAUUUCUAAUUUAUAUCAUUUUUUGAUUGGUGGUCAUGAGGGAUAUUUUCAAAGGUCAUUAAAAUGGUGGAAUGCAGAAUUAAAUACAGAUUAUUCAGAGGAUAAUCAGUGAUUGAUAUAUGAGCGGGUUAAAUUUGUACGAAUAAAUACUAAAACACCAGAUCAUAUUAUUUAAUUUUCAGUAGAGCUUAUAAAUGGCUGCAAAACUAAAAACCAUGAUGCAUAACUCUAUUUUGCAGCUGUUUAAUAAAUAUAAUAUAGGGAACUUUGGUUUUAUGCAUGUGGUUUGGAAUUGUAGAAAGAUCAUAACAUUUUGGUCAGGAGGUAAAGGCAAAAAUUUAUGGAUGUGAUUGACUUAUUUCUCACUGGAUCUUUGAAUUAAAAAAAAAAAGAAAAGAAAAAGAAAUCAUGCUAAACAGACAUCAAAGAAAACUUAUUGGAAAAACAUUCUCUGUAGCAAUCUUCCCAUCCCCAUAUAAAUAGACAUUGGACAAAGAAAUGUAUAUAAUCAGUGCCAGAAUAGAUUAACUAUAUGUGUGUAUCUAUCUGAUUAGAACAUACACAACACAAUUUAUAAUAUCACUUUGGGCACAGGGGAGAAAAAGAAAUUGGUUCAAACUAUUGUCAUGAUGGUCAACCAGUUUUGAGAUUUAUAUUUUCCUUGGCAGGUCAUAUUAAAAAUGUUGUCCCAGAUUGCUUUACUUCAGUAAGUGGCAAACUCCACUAAUGCUACUAUGAAAGCAAUGGAAUUUCAUUGGAAAUCUGUUUUGCAAGGUUAAUUUGUCCAUUACAACGAAUAGCAAAUGAUAAUUAGAUAUGCCUUUGAGGUGCUCGAUAGUGUAACGAUCUUGGGGUUCAUUAAAUAACAAACCAGUGAAUGAGAGAGGAAUGGAACUGCAAUAAAACAAAUGGGAGAACUUCUGUAGUGAGCUGCUGCACACCCAGGCAGUGUUCCCAACCCCCACCUCCAGGGCACAUCUCCAAAUUCCCACAGUCAUAAUACUGUUCCUCAUCCAUUGGAUGAUUUAGUUGGGGAUUGGUCCUCCUUUGAGCAGGGGGUUGGACUAGAUGACCUCCUAAGGUCCCUUCCAACCCUGAUAUUCUAUGAUUCUAUGAUUAUAAGGGAGCAUCUCUAAAUCACAAUAUUUCAUAAGCAUAUCUCUACAGAUAGAGUGCCUUCUUCCUGUGUUUUUUAUCAUGUGUUCUCUAUUACUUUAACUAAAUAACAGAGCCAUAACUAGGCAUUUAGCACCCCGGGGUGAGCAAGCAUAUUUGCACCCCCUAUCAUUUUUUCAUCAUUUUUCCACCCAGAGGCAACGUGGUCUGGCACCCUGGGCUUACGUGCCCCUCCCACUCCUCUCUGGAUUUUUUGGUUGUGACCCACCAACUCAGAUAGGCUGGGUGACUGGCUGAGGUGAGUCGGGGUGAAGGUGGUGCUUCUUCCCUGAGCCCCAUCGUGCAGGGCCGGCCCAAUCAAGCUGCUUGGCACGCUGGGCAGCUGCCCCGCUUGCCCUGCCCUGGUGACAGCCGUGCUAAAUAGGAAUUCCUCUAUAAUUACAUAUUUCUUGCAUUUCAAACAUCACAUACCUUCCUGGGGCAAAAUAUUCUGAGUGUUAACUUACUUUUAUUAACCUGUUUAUUGUACUUGGAACUGAUUGUGACUCUAAGUGUUGCUAAAACUUGUAUCCAUGCCUUGUCAUGUUGUAAUUUUAGUCUUGUGUAAUGUUUCAUGAUGAUAAGAUUUUGUAUGAAAUGAAAUAUAGCAGAGCUAAAAAUGACUUGUAAACACAGAUUCUCAGUGCUGUGCUUUGAGGUACUCUCCUUUUAAAUUAAAACUCUCUUUACCCUGUCAGCUUGGGAAGCAGCCAGUCACACUAAUAAAAUGUCUCCAGUCAGUUUUAUGAGCAAGCAACAAUACGUUCCACAGGCGUGUGUGCAGCCUCAUCGCUAUGCGUGUGGUGAGGUCUGAUGUGUAGCUCUAUGUCUUAACAUGCCCCUGGUGUGUAUGUGGUAUAUUGGCUGUCGACUGCAAAAACUCAAGUGUUUUGUUGCAUGAAAAAAAAAGUAUUUGGAUUAAAAAGAAACCCAGUUUGAAAGGUUAAAUCUCAUACACUUAUCAAAUAUUACCUGCAAGAGAAAAUAAGAG